rnacentral:rRNA from 1 species
AUAUAUGUUAAGUGGAAAAGGAUGUGGCGUUGCCCAGACAACUAGGAUGUUGGCUUAGAAGCAGCCAUCAUUUAAAGAGUGCGUAAUAGCUCACUAGUCGAGUGACACUGCGCCGAAAAUGUACCGGGGCUAAACAUAUUACCGAAGCUGUGGAUUGUCCUUUGGACAAUGGUAGGAGAGCGUUCUAAGGGCGUUGAAGCAUGAUCGUAAGGACAUGUGGAGCGCUUAGAAGUGAGAAUGCCGGUGUGAGUAGCGAAAGACGGGUGAGAAUCCCGUCCACCGAUUGACUAAGGUUUCCAGAGGAAGGCUCGUCCGCUCUGGGUUAGUCGGGUCCUAAGCUGAGGCCGACAGGCGUAGGCGAUGGAUAACAGGUUGAUAUUCCUGUACCACCUAUAAUCGUUUUAAUCGAUGGGGGGACGCAGUAGGAUAGGCGAAGCGUGCGAUUGGAUUGCACGUCUAAGCAGUAAGGCUGAGUAUUAGGCAAAUCCGGUACUCGUUAAGGCUGAGC